AUUGAACGCUGGCGGCAGGCCUAACACAUGCAAGUCGAACGAGUGGCGGACGGGUGAGUAAUGUCUGGGAAAGUGCCCGAUGGAGGGGGAUAACUACUGGAACCGGUCGCUAAUACCGCAUACCAUCGGAUGUGCCCAGAUGGGAUUAGCUAGUAGGUGGGGUAAUGGCUCACCUAGGCGACGAUCCCUAGCUGGUCUGAGAGGAUGACCAGCCACACUGGAACGGCGACACGGUCCAGACGCCUACGGGAGGCAGCAGGGGGGAAUAUUGCAAAAUGGGCGCAAGCCUGAUGCAGUCAGGCCGCGUGUAUGAAGAAGGCCGUCGGGUUGUAAAGUACUUUCAGCGAGGAGGCGUUACUCGCAGAAGAAGCACCGGCUAACUCCGUGCCAGCAGCCGCGGUAAUUC
rnacentral:rRNA from 1 species